rnacentral:lncRNA from 1 species
UCCCCAUGCCAACUCUCAUUUAUAAAAUUUUUGAGAUGCCAAAAGUAGUUUUGGCGUGGAGAUAUGAGCACCCCUCCUCUUGACCUAAACCCUAGAGUCCAUCUAUUUAAAGGGGGCUCCAAUAGUGGAUGCCCCAUGUGUUCUUCUUGCUGAUUUUUAUUUUUCUCUAGAGCUUUUUCUCCUCUCCUCUUCUUUCUUCAAAUAUUCUCUUCCUUUGGAGC